rnacentral:rRNA from 1 species
CGUACUGAGACACGGACCAGACUCCUACGGGAGGCAGCAGUGGGGAAUAUUGGGCAAUGGAGGAAACUCUGACCCAGCGACGCCGCGUGAGGGAUGAAGGCCUUCGGGUUGUAAACCUCUUUCAGUAGGGAAGAAGCGAAAGUGACGGUACCUACAGAAGAAGCACCGGCUAACUAUGUGCCAGCAGCCGCGGUAAUACAUAGGGUGCAAGCGUUGUCCGGAAUUAUUGGGCGUAAAGAGCUCGUAGGUGGUUCGAUACGUCGGAUGUGAAAAUCAGGGGCUCAACCCCUGACCUGCAUCCGAUACGGUCGAGCUAGAGUUUGGUAGGGGAGACUGGAAUUCCUGGUGUAGCGGUGGAAUGCGCAGAUAUCAGGAGGAACACCGAUGGCGAAGGCAGGUCUCUGGGCCAAUACUGACACUGAGGAGCGAAAGCGUGGGGAGCGAACAGGAUUAGAUACCCUGGUAGUCCACGCCGUAAACGGUGGGCGCUAGUUGUGCGAACCUUCCACGGUUUGUGCGACGCAGCUAACGCAUUAAGCGCCCCGCCUGGGGAGUACGAUCGCAAGAUUAAAACUCAAAGGAAUUGACGG